rnacentral:rRNA from 1 species
UACGAAGGGGGCUAGCGUUGCUCGGAAUUACUGGGCGUAAAGCGUGCGCAGGCGGUUAUAUAAGACAGAUGUGAAAUCCCCGGGCUCAACCUGGGACCUGCAUUUGUGACUGUAUAGCUAGAGUACGGUAGAGGGGGAUGGAAUUCCGCGUGUAGCAGUGAAAUGCGUAGAUAUGCGGAGGAACACCGAUGGCGAAGGCAAUCCCCUGGACCUGUACUGACGCUCAUGCACGAAAGCGUGGGGAGCAAACAGG